UUUUUUUCCCUAGAUGAGCUGCUGCUGUCCAGAUCCGCAAAUAUAAAGCACUUUAGCCGACGACAUAUUACUUUAGCCGCGAAAAAAUGCUUCGUCGGCCUGGUUUUUUUUUCCGUCGGCUAAAGCCUUCUUCUGGUAGUGUUCAUCAAUGGAGAUUCUUCCAUUUGGUGUAGUAGUUCUUUGCAAUUGAGCAAGGGUUGCACUUAGGUUUAGGGUUUAUAGACUCCUCACGUUUUGUAUGGUUAACUUGAAAAAAAAAAGAGGAAGAAUACUAAUCUGAUUACAAUUUUUUUUUUGUGUGUGUGAAAUUCAAUGUCUAUUAUUGUCAUUUUGUAUGAGGUUAUAUUUGUAAUCCAAUAAGUCAAAACAUAUGGAGGUACAUUGAGCAAAUCUGGAGGUCCCAAUAGCUGCACUCAUUGUCACAAAGCAGAUUCCACGCACCAAGAUGCAGUUACAUCAUUAAUGUGGAAAUCCUCAAAUUGUCGUAUGUGAAGUUAUAAUGAAGACUAAAGACCCUCGAUCAAUUCCUUCUUUUUAUUUUCAUUUUUGAUCUCAUCAAAUUAAGCGGCCAUAAUAAAAGCACAUCUUCUUCAACUUUGGGUCCUCACAUCAUGUGUAAUGUGUUGGAAAUAUUUAAAAUUAGUUUUUUGAGUUUCAAUUUUAUUAACGGUAUUAGUAUAUAUGCAUAAUAAUGCAACGUGGACAGCCGGAUCAAAAUAUUACAUAUUGAUUGCUCGGUUAACUUGCACCUUAAUGCGUAGAAAAAUUUUUGAUUAACAAUAAUAACGAAACAGAAAACCAUUUAAAAUUAGUUAAAAGCUGACAGAUAGAAAAUCAAUACAGUGAUUAAAAGAGAGAACGUGGACCAGAUCGAGUAC
rnacentral:lncRNA from 1 species